rnacentral:tRNA from 1 species
ACGGGCUUUGAAGGCGCAGGCCUGAGGCGCCUGUCCCGCAGGGGUUCGUGGGUUCAAAUCCCACCUCCCGCACCA